AUUGAACGCUGGCGGCAGGCCUCACACAUGCAAGUCGAGCGAGCGGCGGACGGGUGAGUAAUGUCUGGGAAACUGCCUGAUGGAGGGGGAUAACUACUGGAAACGGUAGCUAAUACCGCAUACCAUCAGAUGUGCCCAGAUGGGAUUAGCUAGUAGGUGGGGUAACGGCUCACCUAGGCGACUAUCCCUAGCGGGUCUGAGAGGAUGACCAGCCACCAUGGAACUGAGACACGUGCCAGACUCCAACGGGAGGCAGCAGUGGGGACUAUUGAACAAUGGGAGCAAGCCUGAUGCCGCCAUGCCGGGUGUUAGAAGAAGGCAUUAGGGUUGUAAGGCAGUGUCAGCGGGGAGGCGUUACCCGCAGAAGAAGCACCGGCUAACUCCGUACCAGCAGCAGCGGUAAUAC
rnacentral:rRNA from 1 species